AGCUCCAAUAGCGUAUAUUAAAGUUGUUGUGGUUAAAAAGCUCGUAGUUGGAUCUCGGCGGUCAGAGAGCGGUUCACUUGCUAGUGCUACUGCCCUAUUGACCGUAGUUUUGCCAGAGGUCUCAGGGUGCUCUUAAUCGAGUGUCUUGUGAUGCUGGCAGGUUUACUUUGAAAAAAUUAGAGUGCUCAAAGCAGGCUUUUACGCCUGAAUAUUCGUGCAUGGAAUAAUAGAAUAGGAAGUCGUUUCUAUUUUGUUGGUUUUCGGAAAUCGACUUAAUGAUUAAUAGGGACAGUCGGGGGCAUUUGUAUUCAAACGACAGAGGUGAAAUUCUUGGACCGUUUGAAGACAAACUACUGCGAAAGCAUUUGCCAAGAAUGUUUUCA
rnacentral:rRNA from 1 species